rnacentral:piRNA from 1 species
UCCUGCAUGGGGCUAAACUUUGAUC